rnacentral:tRNA from 1 species
GCGGGUAUGGCGAAAUUGGCAGACGCACCAGAUUUAGGUUCUGGCGCCGCAAGGCAUGGGGGUUCAAGUCCCUCUACCCGCACCA